UGGGGAAUUUUGGACAAUGGGCGCAAGCCUGAUCCAGCCAUGCCGCGUGCAGGAUGAAGGCCUUCGGGUUGUAAACUGCUUUUGUACGGAACGAAAAGACUCCUUCUAAUAAAGGGGGUCCAUGACGGUACCGUAAGAGUAAGCACCGGCUAACUACGUGCCAGCAGCCGCGGUAAUACGUAGGGUGCAAGCGUUAAUCGGAAUUACUGGGCGUAAAGCGUGCGCAGGCGGUUAUGCAAGACAGAGGUGAAAUCCCCGGGCUCAACCUGGGAACUGCCUUUGUGACUGCAUAGCUAGAGUACGGUAGAGGGGGAUGGAAUUCCGCGUGUAGCAGCGAAAUGCGUAGAUAUGCGGGGGAACACCGAUGGCGAAAGCAAUCCCCUGGACCUGUACUGACGCUCAUGCACGAAAGCGUGGGGAGCAAACA
rnacentral:rRNA from 1 species